UACGUAGGGUGCGAGCGUUAAUCGGAAUUACUGGGCGUAAAGCGUGCGCAGGCGGUGAUGUAAGACAGGUGUGAAAUCCCCGGGCUUAACCUGGGAACUGCAUUUGUGACUGCAUCGCUGGAGUGCGGCAGAGGGGGAUGGAAUUCCGCGUGUAGCAGUGAAAUGCGUAGAUAUGCGGAGGAACACCGAUGGCGAAGGCAAUCCCCUGGGCCUGCACUGACGCUCAUGCACGAAAGCGUGGGAGCAACAGG
rnacentral:rRNA from 1 species